GCAAGCCGAUUAAAUGGCAACACCGACUCACUUCAUCUUCAUCUCUUUGGGACGACAUCUGCGCCGUGGCUUUCUCUCAACAUACAGAGCUUCCAUAGUUAUUGUUAAAUCUUAAUCAUGUCUGCGGAUACCAUCACCGUCCCUCUCAGCUGCUGGAAUGUACUCAGCUUGGUUGGAUGGAGCGUCUGCUUGGUUGGAAUUCAGAAAGUUCUGCUCCAAAGGAACCUGUCUGAACGUCAAUGAUGCCUUUGGCCAAGAAUUAUAACAUGGUGGCUGAUCCAAGAAAUACCUGAACAUUGCAAUCUUCUUAAGAGCACCGAAUGUAACAUGUGACGAGGUGUCAAAAGCUCUUCUAGAUUGUAAGAUUGGUCUCCCAUUUGGUUUGUUACUUAGGGGUAAAGUUCUAUUUGCUUUGAUCACUUCAACUUGCAAAAUAGUGUUAACGGAACACAUUCUAUGCACUAAUCUUAUUUCCAUCAUUUUCUAUUCACUUCACUAAUCAAGUUCAGUCCAACGACUAUUUAUCAUC